UUAAACAAACUGCAGAGACUUCUUUUGUAAAAGGACGCAACGGACGAGAAACAGAAACUUCACGAGGCAACACCACAACUCGGCCUCACAACAAUCGAUCAGUCAAAUGUGACCACAACAAGCUACUGGAUCAAUUCUAAACGCAGCCCUGUUUGCGCUGGCCACCAGGAAAUUCGCGGGCACGACGAGAUCCACAAGCCGAGCACGGCCCGGCGCUCACGUACCACGGGCGCCACGGCCGAGCCCAAGCACCGCGGCUCCUGACAACUCGAGACACCGCUUCAUGGCGGAACGCCUCCGCAGCCUUCCGCUUCUUCUUCUUCUUC
rnacentral:lncRNA from 1 species